GUUAAGCGACUAAGCGUACACGGUGGAUGCCCUGGCAGUCAGAGGCGAUGAAGGACGUGCUAAUCUGCGAAAAGCGUCGGUAAGGUGAUAUGAACCGUUACAGCCGGCGAUGUCCGAAUGGGGAAACCCAGUGUGAUUCGUCACACUAUCGUUAACUGAAUACAUAGGUUAACGAGGCGAACCGGGGGAACUGAAACAUCUAAGUACCCCGAGGAAAAGAAAUCAACCGAGAUUCCCCCAGUAGCGGCGAGCGAACGGGGAGCAGCCCAGAGUCUGAAUCAGCUUGUGUGUUAGUGGAACGGUCUGGAAAGUCCGACGGUACAGGGUGAUAGUCCCGUACACCAAAAUGCACAGGUUGUGAACUCGAAGAGUAGGGCGGGACACGUGGUAUCCUGUCUGAAUAUGGGGGGACCAUCCUCCAAGGCUAAAUACUCCUGACUGACCGAUAGUGAACCAGUACCGUGAGGGAAAGGCGAAAAGAACCCCGGCGAGGGGAGUGAAAAAGAACCUGAAACCGUGUA
rnacentral:rRNA from 1 species